GACUGCUACCAGACAAAGUGGCAGUUGCGUCCGAGCUCAACAACACUGUGGUAGUCUUCAUUGCACGCUCGGGAUGAAACCCCGCAAUGGUGGGGAGUAUGGCCUGAAGUCGACACGCGAUAAAGUACUUGAUUUACCAGGCUUGAUUGCAAGAUACUCUAUUUUGCGGAUCUGGCACUCAACCAGGGUAUACAACUCAACCCUACCACCUCCAGAGAAUGGGCUCGAUGCUCGAUAUGCCUCCUGGGCAAUGCAAAUGACGCACUAUGCGCCGACAGACGCAAAUCUGUACUGGUCCG